ACCAAGCGUAGCCUAAUCCAUGUACUGGAUGUAGGAAUUGAGUCAUAUAUUAAAAGAAAAUAAGAAAGCAAUCAAUUUCUUAAUUAACUUUGAAAACAUUUUUACAGUUACUACUGAAAGCAACUUUUUAGUUAAUACUGUAAAAUUUUAUUAUGUAUGUCACUUAAGCCCUUAACAAAAAUAAACAGGAGUAAUGGGGAAAAAAGAUAAUGUGAAAAAUAAGGAAGAAAUAAGUCAUAUAACUCAAAAAGCAAUGGUCAAGAGGUAAUUUUUUAAAAUUUGGAUACUCAAUAAGUUACACAGAAUAUUUUACAUGGAAUAUUUUUAAAGGCAAUGAUCAAUUCUUUAGAAAUAAGAAUUUUCUGAAGCAUAUAGGCAUGCAAAAAUACAAAAUUUCAACUUAAAUAUUCAUUUGGAAACUGAUGACUGAAAAUAAACUGCAAUAAUAAGGAGAUUCUGCACUGUAGCAAAGCCAAUUGUCAAUUCCUGAAUAAGUUGUGAACUCUAGCCUUUUAAACUCAACUUGCCACUGAUUCACUCCAUAUGUAACUUCUAUGUCAAAGCAGAUACCAUAGAUCUUAAAAUAAAUAUUUAUAUUUAUUAUCCAAAUAAUUUGAGGUAUAAAAUAAAUAAAAAUCAAAUUAAUUCAGGCUAACAUGCUUUUCCUUAUUCACAAUAUAUAAAUAUUGGUUGGUACCUAAAUCUUCCCCAUUGUUGGUAAUUCUGAAUACAUUCCCUGUUGAAUGAAGAAUACAUUUUAUGACAUUUUCUGAUGAUGAUGUAACAUUGCAUGGAAAGGAUCCUAGAAAAACAAAGAUGGAAAAGAUUUUUUUCUCAAAUAUUUCUUGUGAAGAAAUGGAGCUUAGUAAACAGUCAAGGUUUUGUCAAAAUCUGUGUUAUAUGGUAGGAUAUUGUUUUUAAUGGUAAUCAUGUUUGAGAACUGAUUAUUUUCAAAACUGACCUCUCCUCCUUUAAGUGAUCUAUAUGCAUAAAAUAUAUAAUAUUAAUUGACUGAAAUCUAAAGUUUGAAAGCAGUUUAUUAAGAUUUUCUUUAUCCCCUUAACCAAAUAUACUUAACAUUCUUUACAUUAAUAGAACAGUAAUGUUUCCAUGAUUGAUAGUAUUUGUGUAAUAACUCAGCACCUAUAGUACAUCCUUUUAGCUGAGAAAAAUGGCAGUAUCCCUCACAGGGGAAUAUAGCUCUUACCUAAGAGGACCGUAUUCUUCAUUGGUAUGGUGCUGAACCCAAAACCCAGUACAGUGAUUUCAGUCCCACCAUACAAGGAGCCUCUCUGUGGAAACAUGUUGGUCACUUUCAAAAUAUACCAAAUUGAAGCAUUUAAUUUAUCUCUGAAAAGGAAAAAAAAUAGAUUUUCCUACUGAAUUUCCUUCUCAUGGGCUCAUAUUAUGAAACUCUUAGAAGUAUAUGACUUUUUUAGGAAGAGGAAAUAAUUGAAUCUAUAUGUAAUUAUAUAUCAUUUUUAAGGCUAGAUAAUCUGAAUUAUAACCUCAAUUUGGUUGGAUGCUAUAUGUUAGUAAUUUUAAAUUAGAUUUUUGAAAAUCUGACAGCACAAAUUUGAGAUAGAAAAUCUGAAACUACUAUGAAAAAUCUGGUUAUGAGAAAUGAGAUCACAAGAAAUACAGGAAGGCCUUUAAAAUAUAUCUACAUUAGAAUAAAAUAUAAAGGCAGUUCUACAUAUAAAAAAGAAAAAAGUCAUAUAUCUUAUAUGAGUAAUAAAAUUUUGUGUAAUUAAUUUAAAUUAAUCAUUCCAUGUUUGUUGGGAACUUACAGGAUUUCCCUUCCCCCAUCUCCAUGAAAGGUUUUAAUUUAUUUUUCUUUGUUAUAGUUAGAAUGUGUCUUCUAGAAGCCCAUAAAAAUGUACAGUGCUUUUCUGACCUGAUAUAGAGUUGACUCCCAUAUUCCAAGUCUCACAUAAGUGCACAGGCAGAAAAAUUCCAGUGAAUCUUUGUAUUAACUUUUAUUUAACUUCUUCAGCAUAAUUAAAUUAGUAUUUCUUCAACUACCACCUAAAUAUACAAUUUUUAUGGUAUCAAUCCUGCACAUUAUAUCAUCCAGCUAAAGUACAAGCUAGAACCUUCUAAAACUCAUGUGAGCUAUUCUCUGUGAGAUAAUAUUAACUCAAAUCAGAUUGAAAGGGAAUGUAGCCUUGGGAUUAUGGUUUCUAUUGCUCAUCUUCAUCUCCUGCAAGAUACUGCUGCUGUCAUCUCUCAUUCCUUUCUGACAUCAGCUUUGUCUUCUUUUUAAUCCCUAAAUUUCAGUGUUCCCUUCUUCUAAGUAUUCCACAUUAGUAAUUCCUCACACAAGAAUUAAAGUUGUUACAAGUAAACAAAGAAUUUCAGGGAAGAAAAUACUAAAUCCCUACAGAAAUAGAAUCAGAGAAAGAUUCUCUUCCUGCCCUUCAGAUGGCUAGCAUCUACCUACGUAUUUCCUGGCUUAAUUAUCACCUUUACAGAGAAUGCUUCCCUGUACCUUAGGAUAAGUUAGCUACAUUUAUUACCUUUUUAUUUACACCUGGUACCUCUUAUUCAUAGUCUUUUCCACAUUUAUGAUUAGAUUAUUGAUAUAAUUUUCUGUUCAUAAUCGAUUUCUCCGAUAAAACUGUGAGCACCAUUAAUGUGGGUAACAUGCCCCUUUUAUUCUCUACUGUGAGUCCAGCAUUAAGCAAGUGCUUGUCCCCUAGAAACUGUUUGACAAGUAUUUCCUGAAUGAAUGAAAAUCAUGUGACAUACACAAACCUAGUUGCACAGAGAAUUUUACUAGCUGAUCUGAAUGGUAUUGGUCUCACAACUAAGUGUCAUACUGAAUUUUUCUGAGAUUUUCUGAGUCUUUGGCAAAAGAAGAUAUAUAAAGGCAACAAAAGCAAUUAAUAUAUUAAAGAUUAAAGAUUAUUUAUUUUCCUGUUCCAAUUCUAUUAGCCCUAUGUGUUCUCCAACUCUACCAAGUUUAUGUUCAUUACCAUACCUUGUUGAUGCAAAGCCCCAAUUUCUGACUUCUACAUGGAUAUCAUGCUUUCCAGGAGACAAUGUAGGCAAAAGGCAUCGAAUAUCUGUGAAGUUCCAGUGAAGAACCUGGCAGGGUUUUCCUCCAACAUACACCACCAUGUUUUGCGGUGCAAAUAAGCCACAACACACAGAAGAAAAUAGAAGCCAAGCCAAAUGAGGGAACCUGGAGAAGAUUCUGCCUUCCACAUGUGCUUCUCCACUUGAUGCUCCAUGAGUAUCCAGCACAAGUGCCCUCUUGUGUAACUGAGACUUGCCCUACUUCUUCCAGGCUCUGGAGAGCAAACUGCAAAUCUGCAGCUGACACAGCAGCAGGGAUGCCUGCAUUCACAGAGGGGGAUAAAGAGCAGGAGUCAAGAAUUUACAAACCAUAUUUCAUUGUUAAAGUACAAGUAACGUGUACUGUAUACUACUACUUGUAAGCCACACACCCUCCUCCAUUAAAAGUGAAGGUGAAACGUC